ACCACAGAGUGUUGAGUCAGUCCUACAGUGUGUCCUGGAUGCAGGCACCCGGCCUUCACAGCAGAUCCUGUCCUGAUCCAAUCCUGAGCCUGGCUUGCAGUGAGAUCACACUGGUAUGUGAUCAUAAAGACAGAAGGCUUUAUUGACAUGUUAGAGAGAGAGACUGUGUGUAUAUUUGUGUCUAUACCUGCACAUACUGAGACGGUAAGAGAGAGAAACUGGGCAGCAGGGUGUGGGUUAACCAAACAGCAUUCAUAACCUGCCAAGUGGCUGCUAUCGCUGAGGCUCGGUUUGGUUUAUUUACUGAACCUGGAGACGAGAAUGACGCCAUGCCAGAGAGCAACAUAUGUUGUGUGCAGUGGGAGAAGAGAUAACAUGAGGAGAGGACUGCUGGGGUGUUUCAUUACAGAGAUAACCCAGUGGGACAGAGACACAGCGCAGAGUCAACACCUCUGUCAGUGGAGACUUACACCACCUACACUAUCCAAUAAUGACAGAUAUUGCAGGACCCACUCAUCAGGACGUGACCAUCUGGUAUAAUGAAGGUUGAAUGAAGAGAUGUCUGGAGUCAGCAUCCAUGGGCCCCUCCACUGCUGCAUGUCCAUCCAGAUCAUCAGCCACCAGUCUUCACCACCAUCAGUGUCCAGACUACAGCAGGGGAUUUUCCUGUUCAGCUAAUGGACUGACUCUCCUUUAAAUGACGGCAUCCCAAUAAGGUCUAAUCACCAAGCACUCCUCACAUGUUUCUUUAUCUUUUCUAUUGUGUACACUAGACUGAUGCACUGAGCUUCUCUCCCUCCCUCUCUCUCCCUUUCUCUCCCUCUCUCUCCACUCAAUAUGGAUUCAUAUCCCAUGUUACAUGUUACUAACUCAGUAUCUCCCCUUUCCUGUAGUAUUGUGCUCUUCCGUCUCUGUCUCCUCUUCUGUCUCUUUCUGCAGGUAUUUCUGCCUCUGGAGCUGUAGAGUCUGAUCUGUGAUGACAAGUCUCCUGCUGCUCCUACAACUCCACUCAACACCUGCUACUAUAUUGAGAAAAUAUUAGUUCUGCUUCUAGUAUUACUGCUGCCAUUGCAUUUACAACUUUGUCAUAACUAUUAUUACCUCUAUUGUAUUGAUACCACUUUAGAUUUUUACAUGGAAUCUGCAUUAAGCUAUGUUCUCCUGUGGCUAUCUUCUACCUCCCUCACUUCCUUCCCCGCUCUCCUUCUUAACCCAACUGGUCGAGGCAGAUGGCCGCCCACCCUGAGUCCGGUCCUGCUCGAGGUUUCUGCCUCUUAAAGGAAGUUUUUCCUUGUUACUGUCUCCUAGUGCUGCUCAUGGUGGAUCUGUUGGGUCUCUCUCUGUAAAUAUAAUAGUCUUAAGAGUACAGUCUAGACCUGUAGACCUAUAUGAAAAGUUCCUUGAGAUAACUUCAGUUGUGAUUCGGUGCUAUGUAAAUAAAACUGAAUUGAAUUGAAUAAUAUGGAAUAAAUGAGUUUAAUUA